ACAACUCACACUACACACACCGGACCAGGCCAACAUCAGCAGGCGUGAGGAUGUGUGGGCGUGGCUUUCAGGCUCCCUGUUGCCAAGGUUACUGGAUAGCACCACCCUAAUGCAGGAAACAGGAAGUGUGCUCCUGGGCACGCCCAGACUACGACAGAUACGAGACGUUAGUCUGUUCUCCAG